rnacentral:lncRNA from 1 species
UUUAUCUCUCUCGUCUCUACCCAUGUAUAAAAUCAUUACCAUCUCUCGUUAACUAACACAACGGAACCAGGAAGAACAAACCAAACACCCAAACGAAUCACUGCUUCCAUAUAUCCGCCUCCAGGGUAUUCACUGCAAAAGGUCGGCAACGAGGCUUUGAUCGCAUCGAUUAAGGUUUGUUUAAACAAUCGCACCACCUUGUUUUAUUUGUUCAUGUUUACACUUCCUGGUUAGAUUGAGUACGUAUUAUACCUCUUUAAUCAAUGAUGCCGUUUCUCAUUAUUUAACAAUUGGUUGUUCUUUUAAUUGGUACCUCAUUAUUUCAAUUAGUAGACUCCAUUUUUUUUGAGAAGCGGAGACAUGUGAAGGUGGGAAUUCAUUGAUUUGAGACUUGAGCGAUUCAACACAUUAAAUAUGGGUUUUUUCCGGUUAAUAGUUAUUGUUGUGAUUGGUGGGAAUUUACUGAUCUGAGUCCCCUUUUGAGAAUCCUAAAACUGAGAGGUGCGGGUGUGUUUGACAUACAGAGAAUCCUGAAAUUGAAAGAGGUUAUUUAAGGACGUUUUCAUUUUUUCAGAUUCAGCAACUGCGGGACAAGCUUGCUGUAGCUGAGAGAACUUAGAAAUCUGAAGCCCACUUAAAAGUAAAUCAGUGAAUUAGUGUACCUAACUGAUUAGGUUUUUUAACUUAGUUUUAUUUUAUUGUAACAAUUAAGCUUUCGCGUUCCCCUCCAGGAGACUUAUCAAUUGUUUUGAAAAGUUCUUGAAUAGACUUUGAGAUCACCGAACACGGCUAGUCACAGCAUACCAGAUGUAAGAAGUACAGAGUACUAAGGCUUAAUGAGUAAAAAAACAACUAUGACAUCUUGGGAACUUCCUUUGGUAAUUAUGUGCUGCCAUCAGUUAAAGCAUAUAAUGCCAAGCCUCUGAAUCCGAUAAACCAUAGGGAACAACUGGAGUGUUGGAAUAAGGUUCGAGGGAAUGAAGAUGUAGUUAUUUUUUUUCUCUCUUUUCCUUGUUGCUAUCUCCCAUUUUUUCAAUUCUUUAAACCCUUCCAUGAAUAGACUUCGUAUCAGUCUUUUUUGAUUGUGAUAGUUUGGGUGAACCUUGAAGAAAAUGGAAGUACGAAACAGAAGUUAGCAUUACUCUUGCCGGAAUCAAGAAGAAAUAUAUAUUUUGGACACGUAAAAUUGUACUAAAGCUGUUUGAAAUUGGUGGAUGCUAAUUGGUUAUUAAUCAGUUUCGAAGACUGAAAUUUCUAUUGCUUGAAAUGACCGAACUAAGAUUGUGCAGCAUCAACUAGUAAAUUAGUACAACGAAACAAACAUAUCUUCUUUAAUUUUGUAGAGUCGAGCAUAAUGAUCAUGUUCGUGUUCCAUAUUAAUAGGGGAAAAUUGGGUGAGUUUUUGAAAGAAUGAGUUUAUAUUCCAUGAUAGUUGUAACUCUAUAGCAUCCAUAGAUUAUGUGGAAAUUGAAUUUUCUCUCUUUGUCGUCACUUAAUUUUCCCUUUCUCUGGUCGGUUUUGCUAGAGGUACAUAAUGGUGUACCACCUCCUCACAUGGGUGGGGGACCCACUCGAAUAUUUUAUUCGAAUGGGCCCCCCCAUGUGAGGGGAUAUACACCUUUAGGUACAAAAAAUUAUGUACCACUAGUUUUAUAUUUUUCUGGUGUCAGUCAGACCUUGCACAGGCUACUUGUUCUAAACAACAUUAUAAAUUCUGAUGUGAUACAAAAUUAUGAUAUAAACCUCUUCUAGAAGAAUGUUCUUCCUUGUGGAUAAAAAUUAAACAAUAAUUUUGCAUGCAGCAGUGGUCUCUACGAGCAGCUGAAUAUCCUUGUUCCUUUAGCUUCCUUCCUCUUCCGGUUGCUACUUUGUCAUAUGCCCAAUGAUCUCAAAGUAGCCCUAUUCAUGCUCAUUUGCUAAUUAAAAUUGAGAACUCUAAAUUGCUGAGGAAACUUCUUCCUUUUCGGAAAACUUCUAUGGAUCCAAUGCAAAUUCUGGAAUAAUAAUAAAUUUGACUGGCCUAUAAAGAUGGCAGAAAUCUCAAUCUCGAGAAAAAUAGCUCAACAAUAGGAAUCUCGAACACUAAAAAAAGAACCUCAAUGAAUUAUUGUAAAUUGGGCAAAUAUACUUACUUUUGCCAAUUACUAUUAUUUUUGCUCAAAUUUAUUUUUUUUGGGGAAAAUUAUGUUUAUAAGAACUUAAAUAAUGCAAAGAGUUUUCUUCUCCUUCUCCUUCUCCUUUUCCAUCUUCCAUUUUUUUUUAAACAAUAAAAAUUAAACAAUAAUUUUGCAUGCAGCUGUGGUCUCUAUGGGCUUUCUUCAUCAGCUGAAUAUCCUUGUUCUGUUAGCUUCCUUCCUCUUCAGGUUGCUACUUUGUCAUAUGCCCAAUGAUCUCAAAGUAGCCCCGUUCCUGCUCAUUUGCCAAUUAAAACUGAGAACUCUAAAUUGCUGAGGAAACUUCUUCCUUUUCGGAAAACUUCUAUGGAUCCAACUGCAAAUUCUCGAAUAAUAAUAAAUUUGACUGGCCUAUAAAGAUGGCAAAAAUCUCGAUCUCUAAGGAAAAAAGCGCUCAACAAUAGGAAUCUUGAACACUAAAAAAAGAACCUCUAUGAAUUAUUGUAAAUUGGGCAAAUAUACUUACUUUUGUCCAUUAAUAUUAUUUUUACUCGAAUUUAUUUUUUUGGGGGAAAAUUAUGUUUAUCAGAACUUUAUAAUGCAAAGAGUUUUCUUCUCCUUCUCCAUUUUUUUUUCAAAUGGGGGUUCUAUGAAGAAUUUACCCUUUCAUGCUUGAACCGAACUUCUUCACUUUCGACAUUUUUUUUUUUUUUAACAAUCAUUAUUUAAUUUAGAUUGUUUGUAGCUCAAAGUAUAAGGAAAGGAAAGAUAUAAUUUUUCUUAUGUUCUACAUGUUAUUGUGUAUGUGAACUUUUUUAUAUAUAGUCAAAUUUCUCUAGUCGGUUUUCUUUGACCUUUUGCAGUAACUCCUUGAAAUGAUUUCUGAAGUGGGUUCUAUUCAAAAGAUCUUUUCUUAAUGUUUGAUUUAUAAGUUAAACAUUCCUACAGAUUAUAAAGAUGUCGUUUACAAGGAAAGCUAUCCUUAGAAGAACUCAGAAGAAGUGCACAUCAUCGUGAGUUAUUUUUCUCUUCCUUUUACUGACUCUUUCUUUUAGCCUUUUUUAUUCUGAUAUAAAGUUUACUAUGCCAGACAUUUAAGAAGAAAAUUUGGGCUUCUUGUAAGGCACAAGGGUUGUAUGAAGCGCGCAAAAGCCUAUCUCCAAAAUUUGCAGACUAUGCUUGUAAGUUCAAUUUUGACACAAUUAAUCAGUUUACUCUCUUUAGUCUUUUCUCUGUUUUUAAUGUCCUUCCAAUCGUCAAUUUAAUAUCUGAAAGGGCAGUAUUUAUACAGUUGAUAAAUCAGAGGGGGCAUUGUGGGAAAGAGUGAUAAUUUGGUGGGGUGGAAUGGAUUGUAUUCUGAAAAUUAAAGAGAACCUCAUAGGGGAUUCAUUAUAUCUAAUGCAGAAAUUUCUAAAGCUAAAUGCCUACCUGGAUGAGCUAAAUGACAAGACUGACGUGAUACUUGCCGAGAUGCGAGAGAUAAAAGCCGAACAAUAAGAGUUGAACGCUGAAGAGGAAGAGGUAAUUGCCGAACUGGAAACCACGGAAAGCGAAAUAAAAGAAUUAGAAAAAACAUUUGAAGAUAUGUUGCAGGUACCAUUUCGACCAUGUAUUUGAUAGUGGAUGGAUGAAUUGAGGUUUCAACUUUUAGUUUUCAUUCAUAUUUUUAUACUACAAUUUUUAUGUCAUUACAGAAACACAUGGAAGAGGCAAUUGCUAGUGACCUGAUGAAUUUACCUGAGGAUAGAGCCCUUACAGAAACUAAAGAAAAUGGCAGCUCUUAGACAUUGAAUAGACAUCAUGGUUGGAGCAAAUCGAUACACACACACAUAUGAACAUUACAUUUGCUUGUGCAAUUUAACGAUUGGAAUUAUAGGAGCAAGGAAUAAUUUGGUAUGAAAUAUUAUCUUGCGUGAUUUGAACUGUUAUUUUUAUCUUUGUUAUUUGUUUUUUCUAGUGCUCUGAAGUGUUAUUCUUCAACAAUACUUAUUAAUUAUUCAUUCAUAACCUUCCCU